UGUUUCUGUUUCUACUCUUUAACGUUGUUAUAUUUUUAGCAUAGUUAUUUUACUAUUUUUUUUGUACAUGUAUGAUUUUGUAUAACGGGGUUUCUUAAUCAAUAUCAAUGUUGAUGAUAUUUGUUUAUUAUCUUCUCAAAAUGUCUGCUCCUAGAGCAGAAUUCUACUGAUGUUUGCAUGAAGUAUCAAAUGCAAUAAAUUUGCCUGGUCGAUAGUAUUUAUUUCAUAUUAUAAAGGUUACUACUUACAAAUUUAUGUAAACUAAGGAACAAUAUACAUGCACUCGCAGGAUGGGUGUAAAGAACUGUUGCGUAGAAACAUGUAAAUCCUGCUCUACAAGAAAGGAGGACAAUGGUGUCACAUACCACAGAUUUCCAAAAAAUCUGGCUUUACGUAACACUUGGAUGUCAAUAACUUGUUGCAAAGAUUCAGACUUGCCGAAGUAUGUGUGUUCAAGGCAUUUCUGUAAGAAUGAUUUUCAAACAUAUAAGGACUCUAAGUACAUACUGAAGUCAGAUGCCGUGCCCUCAAUUUUUCCUUGGACUAUAUGUGAGAUAUCUAAUACAAUGGAAACUACAGAUGGCUUAUUAAAACAUAAUGACUCUGCACCACCAGAGGUAGAAGCUACGUUGAAAGCCUCAGAACUAUCUGAAGAGUCUGAAGAAAAUUUAGAAGCAAUAAGAAAAUUCAUUGAAGAUCAAGACAAAGAAUUGCAAGAGGAAAAUAAUAAAGUAAAUGUUGCCAAGAUAGAUGAACUUGAAAUUGAGAGUAACAAUAUUACAAAUAAAGACAAAAGCACUAGUUAUGAUGUUGCAAAUAAAGACAGUAACAGCUGCACCAGUAAUGAAACAUCAGCCAACGAGAAUGAAGGAACCAUGGCAGUUGCUUCUAGUGUUAUGGAUAUGAUACUAAGUGAAUCAGAAGUAAAAAUACAGGAUAAAAAGGAUUUUGCACCAUUGCCCAAGUAUAACAGCAUAAGCUCAGCUGAUAAAGUUGCUAGUGGCAGUAUUUCUCUAUCAGUUGGUUCAAGAAUAGAAGCGAAAGAUUUUGGUGAUGAAUGGCAUCCAGCAGAGAUUGUGGAGGUUGAUUAUGACGAGAUGGAAGUUUUGGUUCGUUAUGAGCCAUACAACAAGAGUAUUUCGCGGCACGACGAAUGGAUUAGCGUGAGCAGCCCUCGUUUGAGACCAACAACUUCUAGCGCUACUGCUAAGCGUGACACAGUUGAAGAUAAGAUGCCCGAACCGGUCGCACAAGUGAAGGAAGAAAUUAAAGAAGUGAAGGUGGAAGAGAAAGCGAAGUUAACGUUCACGGUGGGAGAGAGAUGUCUGGCGCGGUGGAGGGAUAACAGGAGAUUCAUGGCCACCAUACAAAAUGAUUUAGGCAAUGGUACCUAUGAAAUUAUAUUCGACGACGGUUUCUACUGGAAAUGCAACGUGUCAAGACUGUAUAAAUGGAAACAAACUGGAAAGAAUGAUCUUUUGACUGUUGAUACAUCACUACAUUCCCCAAUAGGGGUCCCAUCGCCUAUACAAGUUGGAGGUCCAAGCACGGCAGCUGCACCUCCCAUCCCUACAAGUUUCCACACACAUCUUUUUGACCCAACUCGUGACUACCUCAGUUCCAAAAGUGAACGACGCGAAAUGAAGAGAAAAUUAAAUAUAAAGGAGAUAUUUAAUAUUGGUCAAAAGAAACAAAAAACCAAAUCCGAUAAAGUAAAAAAGCCAAGAAUAAUCAGAAGGACUCCUAAAGUUAAAAGUGAACCUGUUAAAAAAGAACUGAAGGUUGAACUUAAAAGGGAUAUACCAGAUGCUGUUGCUUCUAUCAUUGGCACAGUGAAAAAAGACGAAAUAGGGAUAGAAGAAAUAAAAACUGAAGACGUUAUUGAAGUAAAACUUGAAGAAAUAGACAAGGAUGAUUUAGAAGUUACAGAUGUUACAGAAUCCAAAGAUGAUGUACAGGUAGCGGAUGAUUUUACAAUGGAUCCAUUUAAAGCAGAAUUAGACCCUGUACAUGAAGAAGACGUGAAACUUGAAAAAUUUGAUGAACAAGACAGUAAGCACGAAGAAGUAAUCGAUAGGAUGAAAGAAGUUAUCAACAAAUUGGAAGGUGGUCUGAAAGAGGACACGUUGAAUGCUCUCAAAGUAGAUAAUAAGGAAGAAACUCCAAUACCUACGAAACUUGAAGCAAUUCAGGCUAAAACUGAAGAACCAAUAGAAAACGUAGUCGUAGAUGUCGUCGCAGAGGCCAACACUCCAGUAAAAGUGAAAUCUAAAAAGCUAUCGAAGAUUAAGAAAAGUAAGAAACUGAGAAUGUUGCAGGAGAAGAAGGUAAAGAAACAAGUGCAAAAAGUAAAAAGCGAACUGGAAGAGAUGAAAAAACAGGUGGAAGAGAUGAGGAAGCAGAUGUUGUUGAAGACGCAGGAGUUUGCGAAGGGACAAUCGGAGAUGCCGGAGAGCUUCCUGUUGCCUGGAGAGUGGUGUUGUCGGUGGCUGAACGGGCAACCGGUGGGGACGGUUAGUGAGAUCGAGUGCGAGACUAAAGUUAAUGGUGAUGGGAAACCUGGAUUGCCGCGACGAAGUGUUCAGGUUGAAGAUAAGCGGUUACCAGUCGGUUGGACAAAACAUAUGGUACGCAGAAGCUUGGGACAUUCAGCUGGCAAGUGGGACGUCGUACUUGUUAGCCCCGAAAAUCGCCGUUUCCACACAAAGACGGAUAUGCGUAAUUACCUCGAAAAUUAUCCCGAUGAGUCCCUGAAGCCGUACGAAGCUGCACUCAUGGACUUUGGGGUACAUUUGAAGUUGGCUCGACGCAUGGGAUGGAUCACCACCACUCCGGGAGGCGUUGCCGAUGGACCCACACUACCUCGUGGGACCUUGCAUAGCACUUCACCCUUGGUUAAAAGGAAAAAGCUGAAGAAGUCGGACAGGAAAAACCGUCGGCAGAAGAAAAACAAAUUGACGUUCAGGAUGAAGUUGGCUUUGGCUUCUCAGAAUAUUGUUGACGAGAUUGGUAUGGAAACCACUUCUGAUUCCGUGGCAACGCCGGAACCCGUGCUUGACACUAUUACCUUAGAAGACGGAUAUGUGUACGUCGGCUCCCUUAAAGUUCAAAUAAUAGACAAUCUCCUCCGAUGUCCUGCUGAAGGAUGCUUCAAGAAUUUCAGAAACAACACAUUGUUGCAAAUGCACAUCAAACAUUAUCAUAGAGAAUUAAGGGAGAAGCUAGGUGACACACCGAAAGUUCUCGAUUUGGCAUAUGCCAGAACUAUGCCACUAGAUCCAGAGCCAGUAAGGCAAGUGGAGAGUAAGGUUAUAAAGGUGAAGAUCGCCAAGCCGAAGCGUGAGGAACCCAAAGUUGAAGUAACUGAAACUAAACCCGAUUUGCUCAUUGAUAUAGCACCCAAAACUCCAGUUAGUCAAGAUAGUGAGAGUAUACCUAAAGUCCAAGACUCGCCUAAGUUGCGUGAUGCGUUAGUCAACAAGCCAGUGAAGAGACCAAAAGUAUUGCUUCCAGUUAGAAGGCCGGAGUUCGACCCGGAGCCAAUGAAUGUAGAUGAUUAUGAAGAGCUGCCAGAAACUGCGCUCGAUAAAUAUUGUGUGACGGAACCAUUAGAUUUUGAGACAGCGAUCUCUACGCAUACUGUGACUAAACCUGCGGGUGAAAAACGGAAGAAAGAUAAGAAUCUCAAAUCCUUAACGUUGAUGUCGCAAAAGGCGAGCGAAGAUGAGGAAUGGUUUGCGAACUCUGAUUUCGAGACGCAGUCCAGUUUCCCGCGGUCUGGAACGCCUGACUCUAAAUCGAUGGAGAUGCAAACAGUUAAGACGCGGGCUUUGACGCCGGAAUCUACCGAAGAGCUCAAGGACUCACAGAAGUACACGUACACAGAAAACGGCGAGCGCGUGAAGAUAGUGCACAUGAAGCGGGAGGAGAUUAUCAACUGCCACUGCGGGUACCGCGAGGAGGACGGGCUCAUGGUGCAAUGCGAGCUGUGUCUGUGCUGGCAGCACGCGCUCUGCCACAAUAUACAGAGCGAGGCGCAGGUGCCGGAGAAGUACACGUGCAGCAUUUGCCUGAACCCCCGGCGUGGACGCUGGUCGCAGCGGUUCCUGCACGACCAGGACCGGCUGUACGAGGGGUUGCUGCCGGGCGCGCGGCCGUGCGACCUGCUGCGUCGCUCGCACGAGCUGUCGGGCAACCUGCUGCGGAUACAGGACGCGCUGCACGCGCUCAGGGUCAAGUGCUUUGUCGCCUCAAAAAAAGACCAUCCGAAACUGUACUUAUGGGCUAAAGACUGGGAGCAUGCAGAGAUAUCGUACACUCAAGAGAAGCUCAACUCUGAUUACUCCGACUUGAACAUAAUGAUCAACACAGUUGGUAAGGAGAACAUGCCAAUCAAACCCGAGGAAAUGAAGGACAUGCAGCUCGGACUACCUUCGGAUGAUGCGGACCUUGAGAGGUUUUCGCAGCGUGACAAUCAACUAAGCUCGCACGUAUUGCUGACUAGUUUGCUGUCAAGUCCUGGCGGCGCGUCACUUGAGCUGCCUAUAAGUACUUCCGAGCUGGAGACGCUUGCAAAAACUGUACAAGACAUAUAUCUGUAUCAGAACAAGAGUGUGCAGUAGCGGCGGCGGCGGUGGGCGUGUCGGGUCCACAGCCCGAGGCGGCCAUCGAGAACGGCGCGUGUCGCGUGCGGCUGCUGCGUCACCUGCAGCGCUGCCACGCGCUCGUCGACGCACGUCUCGACUCAAUCGAGGCGCAGGUGGCAGAGCUGGAAUCUCAAGACCCGUCGUUCGAGGACGAUGAGACGCCUGACUUCUUCCCGCGUACUAAGCAGACUGUUCAGAUGCUGCUGCGGGAUCUGGACACUAUGGAAGAGUUAGGAAUCAUUACUUAAACACAAAUAUUUAUGCUUUAGCCAUUUCCCAGUGUCUCUACUCUCUAGAAAACGAUAGACGCCCCAACAAGUAUCUCCGGAAGCGGGUAAAUUAUAUAAAGGAAUUAUUUGAGCCAUCAUAUGAAUUGAGCGUGUAAUAUUUGUGCAACGUGAUAUUAUUUUAUAGGUCUAUCACAGAAUAAAUAUAAUUCAUACCAUGUGUCGCCUUAGCGUUUUUAAAACAAGUUGUUUCGCACCUCAGUACCAUUUCCAUCUAAAAUUCUUCAAAUAGCAUGGGGGCAGCCAAAACAACUGCAUGACAUGCGCGAUUUAACUAAACAUAAUAUUGUGUGUCUUUCGACUAUGUGUUUAGUAUAAUCAGCCAAAAUGGAUUAUUGAAAUAUCCUAUUAAAUUAUAUACCUUUAGUGAUUCCUGAAUGAGCUUUAUAUGGUAUUCAAUAAGUGUACUUGACUCUGCGCAACUGCUAGUCGUUUCUUGCGGCACAUGAGGGGAGAGAAAGAUAAGUCAAUGAAUACCAAUACCAACUGUGCAUUUGUCUUUUACUUGCCACUCUCUCAUUCAGCAAGAAGUGACUAGCACUUGAUUGCUGGCUAUAAGAUAUUGGCUGUAUGUAAUAGUUAACACUAGCGAGUUUAUUUGUAAAUAUAUUUCAAUAAAGAUUUUUCUUUGA